AACGCAAAUUGCACUCUCUGGUAUUCCGGAGAGUAUGCCUGUUUGAGGGUCAUCAAAAUGUCAGGAUCGUUUUUGUCGCCUUCUUUUUGGGGUGACAUUUUCGGAAUUGAGCUUUUUUUUUCUUUUUUGACCUUCCUUCGGGAUUGUUGAAAAAGAGGCUUAAAAUCGAUCGUUUAUGAUACGACUUACGUUUUAAAUACAAUAGUAAGUUCAUGUCAUGCAUCCUUAUUAGGUCGUGGAGACGAGAAAGUUUUCAAUGACCCAUAAUUUUUAAUCAUCAAAUGACCUCAAAUCAGGUAGGAAUACCCGCCGAACUUAA
rnacentral:misc_RNA from 1 species